rnacentral:rRNA from 1 species
CGUGCCAGCAGCCGCGGUAAUACGUAGGUGGCAAGCGUUAUCCGGAAUUAUUGGGCGUAAAGCGCGCGUAGGCGGUUUUUUAAGUCUGAUGUGAAAGCCCACGGCUCAACCGUGGAGGGUCAUUGGAAACUGGAAAACUUGAGUGCAGAAGAGGAAAGUGGAAUUCCAUGUGUAGCGGUGAAAUGCGCAGAGAUAUGGAGGAACACCAGUGGCGAAGGCGACUUUCUGGUCUGUAACUGACGCUGAUGUGCGAAAGCGUGGGGAUCAAACAGGAUUAGAUACCCUGGUAGUCCACGCCGUAAACGA